UACGUAGGUGGCGAGCGUUGUCCGGAAUUAUUGGGCGUAAAGAGCUCGUAGGCGGUCUGUCGCGUCGAUCGUGAAAACUUGGGGCUUAACCCUGAGCUUGCGGUCGAUACGGGCAUGACUGGAGUUCGGCAGGGGAGACUGGAAUUCCUGGUGUAGCGGUGAAAUGCGCAGAUAUCAGGAGGAACACCGGUGGCGAAGGCGGUGAUCUGGGCCGGCACUGACGCUGCGGAGCGAAAGCGUGGGUAGCAAACAGG
rnacentral:rRNA from 1 species